rnacentral:rRNA from 1 species
UACGAAGGGGGCUAGCGUUGUUCGGAAUCACUGGGCGUAAAGCGCACGUAGGCGGAUUGUUAAGUCGGGGGUGAAAUCCUGAGGCUCAACCUCAGAACUGCCUUCGAUACUGGCAAUCUCGAGUCCGGAAGAGGUUGGUGGAACAGCUAGUGUAGAGGUGAAAUUCGUAGAUAUCGGGAGGAACACCAGAGGCGAAGGCGGCGACCUGGACAAGUACUGACACUCAACUACGAAAGCGUGGGGAGCAAACAGG